AUGAUUUAUGGUCAGGAGGGCAUUCCUUUGUCUGCGCAGCGCCUCAUCUUUGCCGGCAAGCAGCUCGAGGAUGGCCGCACCCUGGCGGACUACGGCAUCCAGACUUUCAGCACGCUUCACCUCGUCCUUCGCCUGAGAGGGGGUAGAGUGAUCGGCAUCAAGACGUGGACUGGCAACACGAUUUUUCCUACAGGGGUUUGGACUAACAACACGAUUGAGGAUUUCAAGGCCAUGAUUCACAAGGAAGAGGGCAUUCCCCCAUCGCAGCAGCACCUCUUCAUUGCCGGGAAGCCGCUGGAGAACGACCGCACCCUGGGGAGCUACAUCAGCCAUGAUUCCGACAUCAUCUACGUCAGCCCUGAUUCCGACGUCGUCAUUCACCUUUUAAGUCGGCGCGCGCGGCUGCCUCGUCGGAUUGUGGACAGGGCGCGCAGGCUGCGGAACAAGCAGGAACUUGUGCACGGCUGUCUGUAA
rnacentral:rRNA from 1 species